rnacentral:lncRNA from 1 species
AAUAAGAUCUCAUCCUUUCUCUUAAUUAGUCCCUCUACUUGAUUCUGUAAUUCAGGUAUGUAUUUUAGGACUCUUGAAAUUGUUGCUGGAAUGCUCAAUUUCUUCUGAAACAUUUAUGUAUAAAUUAAUACUAACACAGUAUAUUGUGAUAUCCAAAAAGUUCAUCACAACUAGGCAAUUAAAAAGUAAAAAAUUAACAAAAGCUUAGAGAAGGGACUGAUUACUUACCAUUUGAUCAAAAACAGGAAGAAGUGAACGAAGUGAGGAAUACAAAUUAUUGAUCUUCUUGCGGCGAUCGCGUUCGCUAGCAUUAUGAACAAGCUUCUUGACCAUGCUAAGGUCACUGCUUGUGGAUUGUGAGGGAUCUGUUGAAUUAAUUUCUGCCUCAACUUGAUCAUGAAAAUUAAAUAAUUGAUCAACAGUGUCUUUGUAGAAUGAAUUCUGAUGCUGGUUAUGGCUUAAAGGCUCCUCAAAGGGCCAUCCAAUUGUUGAAAAC